GACGAACGCUGGCGGCGUGCUUAACACAUGCAAGUCGAACGGAAAGGCCCUGCUUUUGUGGGGUGCCCGAGUGGCGAACGGGUGAGUAACACGUGAGUAACCUGCCCUUGACUUUGGGAUAACUUCAGGAAACUAGGGCUAAUACCGGAUAGGAGCUCCUGCUGCAUGGUGGGGGUUGGAAAGUUUCGGCGGUUGGGGAUGGACUCGCGGCUUAUCAGCUUGUUGGUGGGGUAGUGGCUUACUAAGGCUUUGACGGGUAGCCGGCCUGAGAGGGUGACCGGCCACAUUGGGACUGAGAUACGGCCCAGACUCCUACGGGAGGCAGCAGUGGGGAAUAUUGCACAAUGGGCGGAAGCCUGAUGCAGCAACGCCGCGUGCGGGAUGACGGCCUUCGGGUUGUAAACCGCUUUCGCCUGUGACGAAGCGUGAGUGACGGUAAUGGGUAAAGAAGCACCGGCUAACUACGUGCCAGCAGCCGCGGUGAUACGUAGGGUGCGAGCGUUGUCCGGAUUUAUUGGGCGUAAAGGGCUCGUAGGUGGUUGAUCGCGUCGGAAGUGUAAUCUUGGGGCUUAACCCUGAGCGUGCUUUCGAUACGGGUUGACUUGAGGAAGGUAGGGGAGAAUGGAAUUCCUGGUGGAGCGGUGGAAUGCGCAGAUAUCAGGAGGAACACCAGUGGCGAAGGCGGUUCUCUGGGCCUUUCCUGACGCUGAGGAGCGAAAGCGUGGGGAGCGAACAGGCUUAGAUACCCUGGUAGUCCACGCUGUAAACGGUGGGUACUAGGUGUGGGGUCCAUUCCACGGGUUCCGUGCCGUAGCUAACGCUUUAAGUACCCCGCCUGGGGAGUACGGCCGCAAGGCUAAAACUCAAAGGAAUUGACGGGGCCCCGCACAAGCGGCGGAGCAUGCGGAUUAAUUCGAUGCAACGCGUAGAACCUUACCUGGGUUUGACAUGGAUCGGGAGUGCUCAGAGAUGGGUGUGCCUCUUUUGGGGUCGGUUCACAGGUGGUGCAUGGCUGUCGUCAGCUCGUGUCGUGAGAUGUUGGGUUAAGUCCCGCAACGAGCGCAACCCUUGUUCACUGUUGCCAGCACGUUAUGGUGGGGACUCAGUGGAGACCGCCGGGGUCAACUCGGAGGAAGGUGGGGAUGACGUCAAGUCAUCAUGCCCCUUAUGUCCAGGGCUUCACGCAUGCUACAAUGGCUGGUACAGAGAGUGGCGAGCCUGUGAGGGUGAGCGAAUCUCGGAAAGCCGGUCUCAGUUCGGAUUGGGGUCUGCAACUCGACCUCAUGAAGUCGGAGUCGCUAGUAAUCGCAGAACAGCAACGCUGCGGUGAAUACGUUCCCGGG
rnacentral:rRNA from 1 species